rnacentral:rRNA from 1 species
CCUACGGGUGGCAGCAGUGAGGAAUAUUGGUCAAUGGUCGGGAGACUGAACCAGCCAAGCCGCGUGAGGGAUGAAGGUACAGAGUAUCGUAAACCUCUUUUGUCAGGGAACAAAGGCGGGGACGCGUCCCCGGAUGAGUGUACCUGAAGAAAAAGCAUCGGCUAACUCCGUGCCAGCAGCCGCGGUAAUACGGAGGAUGCGAGCGUUAUCCGGAUUUAUUGGGUUUAAAGGGUGCGCAGGCGGUCUGGUAAGUCAGCGGUGAAAGCCCGGGGCUCAACCCCGGCCCGCCGUUGAAACUGGCAGUCUCGAGUUGGAGAGAAGUAUGCGGAAUGCGCGGGGUAGCGGUGAAAUGCAUAGAUAUCGCGCAGAACUCCGAUUGCGAAGGCAGCAUGCCGGCUACACACUGACGCUGAGGCACGAAAGCGUGGGUAUCGAACAGGAUUAGAUACCCCAGUAGUC